GAGAGAGGCAUGUCUGCAACGAAGACUGCUAAUCUUCGCCACCCUGGUUAGACUCCUGGGCUCACUCG
rnacentral:tRNA from 2 species